AAACCUUUCCAUUAUACAAACGAGCCGCAUGCACAGCUGUGCAAUGCACUGUUGUAACUACAGUAAAAGUCCGAUGUUGUAAUUCUGUGUAAAUAAAUGAAUGCACAAGGGAGAAAACACUUGAACCUUAAGGAAUUGUUUAACUUUGCAUUACUUCCCUUUAAUAUUAAUUUUGUCGUCUUAAACAUGACAAAAGACGCGACAGAUACUUGUUGCGAUUUCCGCCUGAUAGGCAAGACGGGUUUUUCACUCGUUAACAAGAAUAUUUACAGAUUUAUACCAUCACUUGCGUCUGUGUACGAAAAGUAUUAUUUUCAUCUGUUUGCGAGCGCCUCUUCACUAGAAGACAGCUUUAAGCACACGGGACAAUGUUUCCAAAAGUCAGACUCUACACCAUGGGGUGUGUUAUGGUUAGUAUUCUGGCCCUAAUACUGGAGCAAACAUCAGGAGUGGAGAUCGUAAACUGCGGUCCUGAUAAGCCCCUAAUAGUGGACAAAAGAUCAACACAUUUUGAGGUCGACUGUGUGAACGUCAACGAAGGGUUCGAGGUCUUCUGGCACUUCAAGUAUACUUAGGGACGAGACCUGGACAUGAAGGCAGCACAUUGUGUAAAGAAAACCAUUGCAGAAACUAUACCCACUAUGUUGACGUUCAUCCAAACUCAUAUAAAAUUGUUGUGAAAUUGCCGGAUUCCUCAUGCGUUAUCGUCUCAAUGGAAUCACUUGCUCAGAACGCAACCCGCAGGGCAUUGGGAAGGUAGCUACACCUGUGGUGUACUUUACCAAUCUCCAAAAAUAUGAUGGAGACGUCACCAAGGGUGACUUUGACUCAAAGCGUCACAAAGGCUGACAACUGGUUGAUGAACGAUGGUCCGAUGACCUCGCCGGUCACUAUGUCGGCAAAGAUUAAAGGCUUUAACAAGAACGAUCAGUCAUGUCAUCGGGCUUUGACUUGCAGAUGCUCUCUGCUUUUCUCUUUUUUGCGUAAAGUGUAUAUAUAAUCAGUUAAUUAACUUUAACGUUAGGACUAACAUAAGCCUUACAGCUUAUCAAUAUAAGUUAAGAGAAGUUUUUUUAUUCAACAGUCUAUUGAUUUGUUGAAGAGUAUUUACAUGACUUCUUUGUUCUAUUAUGCUUUAAUGAGAUUAAAGUUUAAUAAAUUUACUUUGAUAAAAGAC